AUUGAACGCUGGCGGCAGGCUUAACACAUGCAAGUCGAGCGGAGCGAGGGUGCUUGCACCUUAGCUUAGCGGCGGACGGGUGAGUAAUGCUUAGGAAUCUGCUUAUUAGUGGGGGACAACAUUCCGAAAGGGAUGCUAAUACCGCAUACGCCCUACGGGGGAAAGCAGGGGAUAUUCGGACAUUGCGCUAAUAGAUGAGCCUAAGUCGGAUUAGCUAGUUGGUGGGGUAAAGGCCUAACAAGGCGACGAUCUGUAGCGGUGCUGAGGGGAUGAGCCGCCACCCUGGGACUGGGACACGGCCCAGACUCCUACGGGAGGCAGAAGUGGGGAAUAUUGGACAAUGGGCGGAAGCCUGAUCCAGCCAUGCCGCGUGUGUGAAGAAGGCCUUUUGGUUGUAAAGCACUUUAAGCGAGGAGGAGGCUACUAGUAUUAAUACUACUGGAUAGUGGACGUUACUCGCAGAAUAAGCACCGGCUAACUCUGUGCCAGCAGCCGCCGUAA
rnacentral:rRNA from 1 species